UUUGGCCCAAAAAUUCUAAGCGUAUUAAGCAAAAGAGGUACAAGAAUCUACUUAAAGCAGCAGCAGCUGCAAAUUCUUCACAAGACAAGUCGGCAGCUUUAAAUGCACCACAAGUCAAGUCCGCAACAGCUGCAAAUUCCUCCUAAGACACAUUGGCAGCUACAAAUUUCUCCCGAGACAAGUUGGCAGCUUCAAAUUCCUCCCGGAAUGAGUCGGCAGCUUCAAAUUCCUCCCAGGACAAGUCGGCAGCAGCUGCAAGUUCCUCCCGGGACAAGUGGAUAGCAGCUGCAAGUUCCUCCCGAGACAAGUUGGCAGCAGCUGCAAGUUCAUCCUGAGACAAGUCGGCAGCUUCAAAUUCUUCUGAGCCAUCAUCAGUUGCUCCAACUAUAUCUGAGCAUCCAUCCGAACCUAAACGUAAACGUGGACGUGAAUCUAAACAUUAUUGGACUGUUGAUGCCAUAGAUGAAUACGAAGAUAGUAUACGCCUUGAUUUAUUAGCGAAGGAUGUGCAUAAUUUUCCAGAAGGUUUGCGCAUAGUUGUCAAUUUUGAUAAACAUCAUGCAGUAAUAGGAGAAGCAGC